UACAGAGGUCUCAAGCGUUGUUCGGAUUCAUUGGGCGUAAAGGGUGCGUAGGCGGCGCGGUAAGUCGGGUGUGAAAUCUCGGAGCUUAACUCCGAAACUGCAUUCGAUACUGCCGUGCUUGAGGACUGGAGAGGAGACUGGAAUUUACGGUGUAGCGGUGAAAUGCGUAGAUAUCGUAAGGAAGACCAGUGGCGAAGGCGGGUCUCUGGACAGUUCCUGACGCUGGGGCACGAAGGCCAGGGGAGCAAACGGG
rnacentral:rRNA from 1 species